ACCGCAUACGUCCUACGGGAGAAAGCAGGGGACCUUCGGGCCUUGCGCUAUCAGAUGAGCCUAGGUCGGAUUAGCUAGUUGGUGAGGUAAUGGCUCACCAAGGCUACGAUCCGUAACUGGUCUGAGAGGAUGAUCAGUCACACUGGAACUGAGACACGGUCCAGACUCCUACGGGAGGCAGCAGUGGGGAAUAUUGGACAAUGGGCGAAAGCCUGAUCCAGCCAGGCCGCGUGGUGAAGAAGGUCUUCGGAUGUA
rnacentral:rRNA from 1 species